rnacentral:rRNA from 1 species
UAGAGGAAGUAAAAGUCGUAACAAGGUUUCCGUAGGUGAACCUGCGGAAGGAUCAUUAUCGUAGGGCUCCGGCCCUGUCGAGAUAGAACCCUUGCCUUUUUGAGUACCUCUUCGUUUCCUCGGCGGGCUCGCCCGCCAGUGGGGACCACAAAAAACACUUUGUAAUACCUGUACUGUCUGAGAAACAAACAAAAAUUAAAACUUUCAACAACGGAUCUCUUGGUUCUGGCAUCGAUGAAGAACGCAGCGAAAUGCGAUAAGUAGUGUGAAUUGCAGAAUUCAGUGAAUCAUCGAAUCUUUGAACGCACAUUGCGCCCUUUGGUAUUCCUUAGGGCAUGCCUGUUCGAGCGUCAUUUAAACCUUCAAGCUCAGCUUGGUGAUGGGUGACUGUCCGCCGCCCCCGGGCGCGGACUCGCCCCAAAUUCAUUGGCGGCCGGUACGUUGGCUUCGAGCGCAGCAGAAACGCGAACUCGUGGCCCUCUUGUGCUGGCUCCCAGGAGCAAUUUCACAAUUUUGACCUCGGAUCAGGUAGGGAUACCCGCUGAACUUAAGCAUAU